rnacentral:rRNA from 1 species
CUGCGGGGAGUAGACUAACAGGAUCCCUUAGUAACGGCGAGUGAACAGGGAAGAGCCCAGCACCGAAGCCUGUGGCCAGUUGGUCACUAGGCAAUGUGGUGUUCAGGUCAUCUCACAGUGGUGCCGCUCCACCCUAAGUCCAACACUGAGUGCGGUUGUAUGGACAUGGCCCAGGGAGGGUGAAAGGCCCGUGGGGGUGGAGGUCAGACAUGUCGGUAUCACUAUAUGAGUAGACCUUGGAGUCGGGGUGUUUGUGAAUGCACAAAGUGGGUGGUAAACUCCAUCCAAGGCUAAAUACUGACACGAGUCCGAUAGCAAACAAGUACCGUGAGGGAAAGUUGAAAAGUACUUUGAAGAGAGAGUAAACAGUGCGUGAAACCGUUCAGAGGUAAACGGGUGGAGUUGAACUGCAAGCUCUGAGGAUUCAGCUGGUGAGUGUGGUUUGAGCUUGGGUAUACUGGUCGGCCGAUCAAGUUCGCUUAAUUGCGGGUCCCUGUCAUUGGCAGGGAUGCGGGGGCACUUGUCAAGUGCUGCGCGCUUGGAAUGGUUCACCGGGCCAAUUCACCAGUGCACUUUCUCGGAGUAGUCACCACGACCGGCGUUGCUGU